AUUGAACGCUGGCGGCAUGCUUUACACAUGCAAGUCGAACGGUAACAGGUCUUCGGAUGCUGACGAGUGGCGAACGGGUGAGUAAUGCAUCGGAACGUGCCCAGUCGUGGGGGAUAACGCAGCGAAAGCUGUGCUAAUACCGCAUACGAUCUAUGGAUGAAAGCGGGGGAUCGAAAGACCUCGUGCGAUUGGAGCGGCCGAUGUCAGAUUAGCUAGUUGGUGGGGUAAAGGCCCACCAAGGCGACGAUCUGUAGCUGGUCUGAGAGGACGACCAGCCACACUGGGAUUGAGACACGGCCCAGACUCCUACGGGAGGCAGCAGUGGGGAAUUUUGGACAAUGGGCGCAAGCCUGAUCCAGCAAUGCCGCGUGCAGGAAGAAGGCCUUCGGGUUGUAAACUGCUUUUGUACGGAACGAAAAGGUCUGGGUUAAUACCCUGGGCUCAUGA
rnacentral:rRNA from 1 species